rnacentral:rRNA from 1 species
AGCGAACGCUAGCGGCAGGCUUAACACAUGCAAGUCGAGGGGCAGCAGGGGUAGCAAUACUCGCUGGCGACCGGCAAACGGGUGCGGAACACGUACACAAUCUACCUUUAUCUGGGGUAUAGCCCGAAGAAAUUCGGAUUAAUCCCCCAUAAGAUAUUAGAGUGGCAUCACUUCGAUAUUAAAACUCCGGUGGAUAAAGAUGAGUGCGCGUCCCAUUAGCUAGUUGGUAGGGUAACGGCCAACCAAGGCAACGAUGGGUAGCUGGUGUGAGAGCACGACCAGCCACACGGGCACUGAGACACGGGCCCGACUCCUACGGGAGGCAGCAGUGAGGAAUAUUGGUCAAUGGACGCAAGUCUGAACCAGCCAUGCCGCGUGAAGGAUGAAGGCCUUCUGGGUUGUAAACUUCUUUUAUUGGGGAAGAAAAUUACGGUUUCUACUGUAACCGACGGUACCCAAGGAAUAAGCACCGGCUAACUCCGUGCCAGCCGCCGCCGUAACAC